AUGAAGUGUUCCCCUGUGUGGGGCGGAAUGAGAACUGUGAAUGGAAUAGCUGUAGCUCAUGUCAGAAACCAUAAACUAGCCCUGCCCGGUCUGUGUCGGGUAGGAUCACCAUACGAGAUGUUUUAUGCACAUUAUGAUGCUUUUCUUGUCUGUUAUAGCUCUUUUGUUGUUUUGAGUUUUUGCUUUAAUCAUGAGUGUGGAGACUGGAGGGCGGGGCCCUUGUGAUUGACAGCUACACCAUGCGUUUCGUUUGAAUUCCAAUAGCGACUGGAGUGAUGAAGCAAUGAACAUGUAGUUUCUUGUAUUUCACUGGGAUUGGAGGAAAAGUUAAUUGAUAUUAAAAUAUAACCUGACAUUCAUCAUUUCCUUUGUUGUCAUUCCAUUGUUGAACGUUCCUCAUGUGUUUGCUUUUGCCAUGUGUCAAGUUAUGAAGUUAUAUGAAACCUAUUCUUUUUGUUUGACUACCCUAUUCAUCACUUAAAUAUUCUUGCAUUAAUAUGCAUGUAGAACCGAACAAAUGUAGAUUAAAACUACGGUACAGUUAGUUUGGUAUUGUAUGGCAAGGAUUCCCAAACUUUUUUUGUCAGUAAAAUAUUUUAUUUUAAGUUAAUAUUUCAAUAAUUGAACAACACAUUUGCAUGUUUACAGUACUUUAAUGUUGAUAAAUGUUCACAUGAAAUGCAGGUAAACAAAAUAUUUCAUCUUUUAUUUUUUAUUUUAUUUUAACAUGUUUUACGUUUUAUGAUUUAAUAAUUAUUUGUAUUUCAUCGAUUUGCAAAGCCCCUGCAGUUUCAGCACAAACCCCAGUUUGGAAAACCCUGCUGUAUGGCUUAAAAUUGAGAGUGCUUUAGUAAACCAACAGUUGUCGACAGUCUCAAAAUUAUACAAGCUUCAUGUUAGUCCAAAUCCUAACCCAAAUACCCUUAAAAUUAUCGGGAAUUUAUUUGAAAUGCUCCCAUUUUUCCUUAAACUGCGACUUUUCCCGCAUGUUGUCCCAGGAUUUCUACAGUUAAAAAUAAAGUCAAAGUCAUGGGUUCAAUUCCCAGGGAAUGCAUGAACUAAUGAAAUGUGCACCUUAAAAGCAAUUUAUAAAAGCAUCUGCCAAAUGCAUUAAUGUAAAUGACCAGCAAGUGUCUUUAGCUUAAAAACAAUAUUUUCCCCUCCUUGGUUCAGUGCUCCUGAUGGUUUAAUUAAAAUGUUCCAUCUCUCUGCAGCUUUCAGUUCAUAGCCAACCCAUUCGCAUGUAACAGAUCAACCAAUUUGACUUCUAACAGAAAAUACGGGCUGUAUCUUUGCGAUACUUUGACGAAACUUGCUAUGUAUGAUAGCAUCAUUUUUGUUUACUGUUCCCCUGCUAAAUUUGUCAAGUCUAUGCCAAAAUUGGUUUAAAUCAUAUUCAGAUCAAGCCUCAAGAAAGUCAGUAAAUGAAUGAUAGGUGUUUAGUACGGUUCUCCAGAAACAUGUUAAUGAAGUUGCUGGUGAAGCCACCGAAUGGCAAAUGAGAUUGGAAAAUGAUUUUGUUUAUUGACGGAAAAUGAUUUUGUUUAUUGACACAAAACGUUGUACGGACUACGAUCUUAUUUUUAAUGUAAGAGGAUACGUGGCCAUUUGUUACUUGUAUGUUUGAGGCUUUUGGUGUUACUCACUGCCAGUUAUUUUUCCUGUACAAAACCAGUCCAUUACGCUUAUUUUUAUUGAUAUUUAUUAUAAUAUUAUUUCAAAGUAUUAUCAUAGUUAUAAACACACUGGUUUGUAGCACAAAUAGUUUUACUGUUUGUCGCACUUGUUUAUUCUAUUAAUUUUCCUAUAGCAGCUGAUGAAUCAGACGUCUCGCACAUUCAAAAAAAUAACUUGCUUCCACGUUACAAAAUAAGGUGGAUAUAUUUUCUACAAUGCCCUAGUAAUUAAUUGGGUUACAGUUCCAUGUUCCUGUCAAAUGCUAUAGAGAUGAAAAAAUGGAAAAUCUACUCUUGGCCUUUGAAUACUUUUUCUUUUUCCAACACUAGGGGCGCUGGGACCAAACAAAUUCACUCAACCGUACAAUAGAUGUGCUGUUGUUGUUUGUCCCUCUCAUUCCCAAUUAUGUAUCAUGUAAUUCUUAAUGAAUCUAUGGCAAAACCAUUCUAGCAUUUCCAUUAAUCUUAAGUUCAUAUUUAUCCAUACGUGAAGGUAAGAUUGUACUACCAUCAUGCAAGUUCUCAGUGUAAAGGUGCACAAGUGUGUGUUUGAUGGAAUAACACGCACACAGGCAGCAGACGUGUGAACUGUGAAUGCAUGUGAUUGUUGAGCACUGUGAAUGUGGGGUUUAGUGUUUUUUAUUUGGUAAAAAAAUCUCCACAGACAGGCAAGCAUGCGUCCUGUGCUCUGAUGGUGGUCUCUCCUGCCCUGAUGCAUGUUACAGAUACAGAAAACCGCAUGGUACAGGAUACGCUUUUAUUCUGUUAUGUGCAAACUUCAAAUAUAGAAAGUUAACAAAUGCUUCAGUAACAGAUAAAAGCAGAAUGUUGUUUUGUUUAAAGGGAAAGCUCACCCAAAAAUGAGAAAUCUGAUGCUUGUGAUGUUCAGACCUGUUUGACUUUCUGUCUUCUUCAAUCUUCACGAAGCUGAUUGCUAUUAUAAUAAAAUUAUAAAAGUAUAAAAAAUUCUUUAAAAUAGCUUAAAUGUGGAUCUGUUCCUCACAUAAAGGACUGUAUGACUUCAGGAGACUUGGAAUAUAGUGAAGUUGUUGUAUGCGCUUGUCCUUUUCUGAGCUUUGCCAGUACACCCCAAAUGCAAUUUUGGGUGCACUGUCCCUUUAAGAGCUCACUCAAACUGUUUGAGUGUUUGAAGAUGAUUUGUGAUGUUCAUAUUUCAUUUCAUGAUGGAACCAUAGGUACUUCAAGCAGAUUUCUCUCUGUUCAAAGAAUGUGAAACUGUUUGGUUUCAAUCUUAUUUUUGAUUUGACAUUUAUGGUCCAUUAUUGUCUUAUUUUUAUGAUUCUUUUAUGCCACUGCCAAAAGAAAAACCUCUUCCCUUAUGUUUCCUUCACUUGCCUUAAUUACUACAUGCUGAAAUUGUAUUUGGUUUGUUUGGAUGGUUGGUUGGUUGAAAUACAACCAGCUUUGUAUAGUCACCCACUGUGAAUAACUGUUUUCACAAAAUAGAUUUAGUAACAUUUAGAUAACAGCGUAAACCUGUAUCUGUUGAUCUGUUUAAGUCUUUCUUUAGUGAUUACAGUGAUCUCUUCUUCAUGUGGUCUGAACAUCUGUUUAAAUCUUGUUCAUAGGUGGACACAGAGCUGUUAGCUUUCUUUUGCCAAAGCAUUUUUAGCUGGCCUUUGUAGAAUUUGAACUGAUUCGCGACACUUGUGUAAAUCAUGUCUGGUGUUUUGUUUGCAUUAAAAGUAGAUAAAUGAUGAAUGG
rnacentral:lncRNA from 1 species